rnacentral:rRNA from 1 species
AACAGCUAGAGUUUGAUCCUGGCUCAGGAUGAACGCUGGCGGCGUGCCUAACACAUGCAAGUCGAACGGAGUAACGAGAGUUUACUUUUGUUGCUUAGUGGCGGACGGGUGAGUAAUGCGUGAGCAACCUGCCUUUCAGAGGGGGACAACAGUUGGAAACGACUGCUAAUACCGCAUAACAUACACGGAUGGCAUCGUCUGUGUAUCAAAGGAGCAAUCCGCUGAAAGAUGGGCUCACGUCUGAUUAGCUGGUUGGCGGGGUAACGGCCCACCAAGGCGACGAUCAGUAGCCGGACUGAGAGGUUGAACGGCCACAUUGGGACUGAGAUACGGCCCAGACUCCUACGGGAGGCAGCAGUGGGGAAUAUUGGGCAAUGGGCGAAAGCCUGACCCAGCAACGCCGCGUGAAGGAAGAAGGUCUUCGGAUUGUAAACUUCUUUUAUGAGGGACGAAGGACGUGACGGUACCUCAUGAAUAAGCCACGGCUAACUACGUGCC